AAUGAACGUUGGCGGCGUGGAUUAGGCAUGCAAGUCGAGCGAGAUCUGUAGCAAUACAGUGAAAGCGGCGAAAGGGAGAGUAAUACGUAGGUACCUGCCCUCGGGUCUGGGAUAGCUGCGGGAAACUGCAAUUAAUACCAGAUGACGUCUGAGGACCAAAGGUGUGAUUCCGCCAGGGGAUGGGCCUGCGUCCUAUCAGCUAGUUGGUGUGGUAAAGGCGCACCAGGGCAAAGACGGGUACGGGGUGUGAGAGCAUGCCCCCGCUCACUGGGACUGAGACACUGCCCAGACACCUACGGGUGGCUGCAGUCGAGAAUCGUCCGCAAGGGGCGAAAGCCUGACGGAGCGACGCCGCGUGUGGGAUGAAGGCCUUCGGGUUGUAAACCACUGUCAGUGGGGAGCAAAUGGCUAGGGGUUCUCCCCUAGUCUUGAGCGAUCCGCAGAGGAAGCACAGGCUAAUUCCGUGCCAGCAGCCGCCGUAAUAC
rnacentral:rRNA from 1 species